AGAAUCAACGCUGGCGGCGUGCCUAACACAUGCAAGUCGAACGAGAAAGUGGAGCAAUCCAUGAGUAAAGUGGCGCACGGGUGAGUAACACGUGACUAACCUACCCUUGAGUGGGGGAUAACCUAGGGAAACCUGGGCUAAUACCGCAUAAUACCUUCGAGUCAAAGGAGCAAUUCGCUUAAGGAGGGGGUCGCGGCCGAUUAGUUAGUUGGCGGGGUAAUGGCCCACCAAGACUGUGAUCGGUAUCCGGCCUGAGAGGGCGCACGGACACACUGGAACUGAAACACGGUCCAGACUCCUACGGGAGGCAGCAGUGGGAAUUUUGCGCAAUGGGGGAAACCCUGACGCAGCAACGCCGCGUGGAGGAUGAAGUCCUUGGGACGUAAACUCCUUUCGAUCGGGACGAUUAUGACGGUACCGGAAGAAGAAGCCCGGCUAACUUCGUGCCAGCAGCCGC
rnacentral:rRNA from 1 species